rnacentral:rRNA from 1 species
AACGCGAAGAACCUUACCUACCCUUGACAUGUCGAGAACUUUUCAGAGAUGAAUUGGUGCCCGAAAGGGAACUCGAACACAGGUGCUGCAUGGCUGUCGUCAGCUCGUGUCGUGAGAUGUUGGGUUAAGUCCCGCAACGAGCGCAACCCUUGUCCUUAGUUGCUACGCAAGAGCACUCUAAGGAUACUGCCGGUGACAAACCGGAGGAAGGUGGGGAUGACGUCAAGUCCUCAUGGCCCUUAUGGGUAGGGCUUCACACGUCAUACAAUGGUCGGUACAGAGGGUCGCCAACCCGCGAGGGGGAGCCAACCCCAUAAAACCGAUCGUAGUCCGGAUUGCAGUCUGCAACUCGACUGCAUGAAGUCGGAAUCGCUAGUAAUCGCGGAUCAGCAUGUCGCGGUGAAUACGUUCCCGGGUCUUGUACACACCG